GCCGGCUUAGCUCAGCUGGUAGAGCACCUGAUUUGUAAUCAGGGGGUCGCGGGUUCGAGCCCUGCAGCCGGCACCA
rnacentral:tRNA from 3 species